rnacentral:tRNA from 1 species
GCACCGGUAGCUCAAACGGAUAGAGCAUCUGACUACGGAUCAGAAGGUUGGGGAUUCGAGUUCCUCCCGGUGCGCCA